CAGACUAAGUGAAACAAGACCCCAAACUGCUUGCUGUGCCCUCACUCCCCAGGCCCCAGAUGAUGGAAACUUAGCAGCCAAAACGGGAUAUGGCAGUGCUCUGGAGAAAACAGAUAUGCUGGCAGAUCUUCUUCUUUUUCCACAUUGGUCAUCCUGGCACGCUGCAGGUGCGUUGUCUCCAACUGUUAGGGUGAUGAAUUCUCCCGCAGUGACGCCCAUACGAGUCCAUUCCUGCUAUAGGAAUUCCCAGACAGGACGGUGAGAAUGACAUUAGCUGCCCCAGCAACUGACUUGUGGAUUAGAAUUCGAGACUCAGACACCAUGGAAACGCAGAAUCACGGAGCCAUAGAACUCAAGCGAGAGAAGAGAGUUUGCGUGAUAGAACACCUUGCUUCAAGACACGAAGACAUCUUUCCCCAAUCGGGGAUAUUUUCUCUUUUUUAUAGUAGAAAUGAAAAUGAGCGUAUUGUUAUACAACAGAGAAACAUGCCACUAUUCACCUGUUGCUGAAAUAAUUAUUAUAUAUUCCUGGUGAAUUGAACUUUUAUAAUUCUAAAGUGGUCCUACCUAUGUGUAGUUAUUCUUUGUUCUGUAAAGUCUACUUGACUAAUUUUAGCAUAGCUUUCCUUUUGUUAGAUUUUUAUGGUGCUUUUCCCCAGACUUUUUAAUUUCAUCUUUUAGUUGUCUUUAUAUUUAAGUUGUGUCUCAUAUAAGGAUCGUGUAGCUCAGUAUUUUAUCCAAC
ensembl:lncRNA